UGGGCAUCAUACCUAAAGAAGAAGAAGAAGAAAAGGCAAGAAUAAGUAAAAGGAAAAAAAAGAAAAAGAAAGGCAGGCAAGAAUUUUUGUCCCUGCCGGGAGAAGAGUCUGGUCUGUGGACACCAGACACCUAAGCAAGUUUUUUGGAAGGGAGGCUUUGGCAACUCUCGCAAUUCGCAUUCACAGGAGACGUGCCCUGUUUUCCACAACAGGCAGCCUCGCCACCAGCCCCAGGAGGCAGGAAGCUCUCUUCUCAGUGUCUGCAGGUUUAUCCCUAAAUGCUACGGAAGCAACAGCUGCCAGGGGAAGGGGAUACUGCUCAGUCUUUUAAAAUUCUCGUGUAAGCUCGAUAUUACAGUCAUGACCUAAAAAGGCAAAGACCAGAUAUGCUGAGCUCGCUGCGGAUGUAGCCUGCACACGGCCGCAGGAUUUGUCACCACUCAGCCAUGUUUAAAAAAGCCAGUCCAGGCAAGACAGCCACAGGCUCCCGCCCACAAGUGAUCACGAACACACUUCACACUGCCUUAUGGCAGAGCAAGUGCAUAUAGCCCGGUCUUGUGUGACCUUCACAGCCAAUAUUCAUUAUAAUCCCCUCUCACCAAUAUUGAAAAUGGAUGCUCAGGGGAUCAGUGACUCGCCUGGUGUCAAAGUGCCAGGUCCAAAUCAAGACCUGCAGAUCAAGUCUUCUGUGGACGCUUCCAAUCCCAGGCUGCUUUCAUUUCUGAUGGACACGUCCUUCAUGUCCCACAGAUCCAUGGAUCGCCGGCAUCUUCCCUCCUGUUCACAUAGGUGAGAAGGAAGGAGCUGGCAGGCAAUGCCCUUCCAGGUGGGCUACAGGGAAGGCUCUUUUCUCAUUAGGUUGAUCCCUUGGCUUCCCUAGUAAAGUGGGGAGCUGUUGAAAAGAAAGAAUGGAAACGAGGUAAUGAUCCUGGAGCCUAAUGGAAGGGCCGCAGCCAGUUUUCCCCUGUUGAAAGGACACAGGACUUCCCAAAGAGUUUUCAUGGCAAAAACGUCCAACCAGCUACUAAGGAAACAGGAUGGACUCAUGCGUGCAGGAGAGAAAUCACUAAAGGACACAAGACUUCCCAAAGAGUUUUCAUGGCAAAACGUCCAUCCAGCUACUAAGGAAACAGGAUAGACUCAUGCGUGCAGGAGAGAAAUCACUUGGCCGUCACUGGAAGAGCAGGCUGUGAUGGGAACGGUAAGGACAGAGAAGGGAACGUUCACAGGAUAGAAAUUCACAGGGCAAGUAGGGUUCCAAGUCAGAAGCAAAACGCUUUACACAACAUUACAGACAGGCUCCACUGCAACUGGACAGGUCAGGACUGGGCUCAGUCGGCCACAUUCUGCUCCCACGCGUUGCUUCCUUAGACUGUCAGGGAAGGGAGAAGGGCAGCCACCGGGAGCGGCCAGGGUCACGGGCUUGCUAAUUCUUUCCUAGAGUCUGUUCUGUUUUCUGUCAGCAGUAAGGAAAUACAUUCUAGCAAAUGACAUCCAGUAAUGCUUUAAUUAACUGCAGUAUUUUGUGCUCCAACAUGCAGGCAGAAAUCACUUCCAGAUGGAGAAAAUGAAAGCUAUUUACACAAAGAAGCAAUCCCUUUAUUUUAAGGAAAUUUAUAUCUCCCAAAGGUGUAGAACUUCGAGGGUCCAAGAGGCUAUUCUGAUGAAUACUAAAACAGGACUGGGAAUUUUUAUUUAAUAUAUAAAAUGUCAUCGUACCCUUCAUGUAGGCCAGCAUUUCAGGUGUCCAUGUUUCUAAGGCUUUUGCUUAAAUUGCCCAUUGCAGCUCUAUUUUAUUUUUAGGAAUCUGACUUGGAGUAGACGAGAAGUGUGAGACACUUGCUGUCACCCUCAAGCAGGCAGGUUGUUCUGAGUGCUCUUCCUAGGGAAGGAAUCCCGUUUCCAGCAGGUUAUUCCGAGUGCUCUUCCUAGGGAAGGAAUCCCGUUUCCAGCAGGUUAUUCCGAGUGCUCUUCCUAGGGAAGGAAUCCCAGUCACCCUCAAGCAGGCAGGUUGUGGCAGGUUGUUCUGAGUGCUCUUCCUAGGGAAGGAACCCCAUUUCCAGCAGGUUAUUCCGAGUGCUCUUCCUAGGGAAGGAACCCCAUUUCCAGCAGGUUAUUCUGAGUGCUCUUCCUAGAGAAGGAAUCCCAUUUCCAGCAGGUUAUUCCGAGUGCUCUUCCUAGGGAAGGAAUCUCAUUUCCAGCAGGUUAUUCCGAGUGCUCUUCCUAGCAAAGGAAUCCCAUUUCCAGCAGGUUAUUCUGAGUGCUCUUCCUAGCGAAGGAAUCCCAUUUCCAGCAGGUUAUUCCAAGUGCUCUUCCUAGGGAAGGAAUCCCAGUCACCCUCAAGCAGGCAGGUUGUGGCAGGUUGUUCUGAGUGCUCUUCCUAGGGAAGGAACCCCAUUUCCAGCAGGUUAUUCUGAGUGCUCGUCCUAGGGAAGGAACCCCAUUUCCAGCAGGUUAUUCCGAGUGCUCUUCCUAGGGAAGGAAUCCCAUUUCCAGCAGGUUAUUCCGAGUGCUCUUCCUAGGGAAGGAAUCUCAUUUCCACAGGUUAGUUAUUCCGAGUGCUCUUCCUAGCGAAGGAAUCCCAUUUCCAGCAGGUUAUUCCAAGGAAUCCCAUUUCCAGCAGGUUAUUCCGAGUGCUCUUCCUAGCGAAGGAAUCCCAUUUCCAGCAGGUUAUUCCGAGUGCUCUUCCUAGGGAAGGAACCCCAUUUCCAGUAGGUUAUUCCGAGUGCUCUUCCUAGGGAAGGAACCCCAUUUCCAGUAGGUUAUUCCGAGUGCUCUUCCUAGGGAAGGAACCCCAUUUCCAGUAGGUUAUUCCGAGUGCUCUUCCUAGGGAAGGAACCCCAUUUCCAGCUGUGCACAUGCAGCAUUUCCCCUGGCAUUCUUUCAACAGGGAACCAGAUCUCCUCAUCCGAUGGCAACUCAGGAAGGGUUGGUGUCAUACCCUGCAUCGAGCAGCAGCCUCGGACCUGCCCCCACGCUCUGCGUGCCCUGUACUGGUCAUGCUGGUCUCAGCUUGUCUGCUCUCAGUCCUGUCUGAUCUGCACAGAGAAGCCACCCUAGACAUAAGAAAUCAGGCACCCCUUCUCGGGGGUGGGCAGAGCCCUGGGUACUGGCUCUUUGUUCUUCGAGAGAGGAAGGAGUGGCGGUAGUUAGCUUCAAUCCCUGAGCUGGGUUUGGAGAUCAGAACACCUUGUCCAUUGCGGCUCCUGUUUCAUUGUUAAGAGUCCACACAGGAUGUUCUCUGGCCUGGACACCGCUAAGCCAGCUUUCAGACAAGUCCCCUCAGUAAGAGCAGAGUGAACUCUUUAUUGAUUAUACAAAUUACCACUAUUUAUUUUAAACCCAAAGUGACUUCAAAGUUGUUUUUUGGUUUUUAAAAGGGCUAGAGAAAAUGGACUGAGGGGAAGGAAUGGGCACAAUAUCUAGGUUUAGCUGAAUCACAGAGCUGUUAGCUGCUGCUUUCAUCCACAGGUACUCCUUUUACAUUAUUAUUUUUUAGAGAGUCUUGCUCCGUCACCCAGGCAGGAGUGCAAUGGCAUGAUCUCGGCUCACUGCAGCCUCUGCCUCCUGGGUUCAAGCGAUCCUCCUGCCUCAGCCUCCUGAGUAGCUGGGAUUACAGGCGCCCACCACCACACCUGGCUAAUUUUGUAUUUUUAGUAAAGACAGGGUUUCACCAUGUCGGCCAGGCUGGUCUCGAACUCCUGACCUCACAUGAUCCACCUGCCUCGGCCUCCCAAAGUGCUGGGAUUACAGGUGUGAGCCACCAUGCCCAGCCUAUUUUUUAAUAGAGAUGGGGUCUCACUCUGUUGCCCAGGCUUGUCUUGAAGUCCUGGGCUCAAGCAAUCUUCCCACCUCAGCCUCUCCAAGCACUGGCAUUACAGGUGUGAUGCCACAGUACCCGGCCUAGGGUGCCCCUUUGAUACGUUAUUUUUGAAGUGAUGUUAAUAAAUAAAGCUUCUGCUUGGGGGUUGGUCAUCAAAACAAGAAGAAUCCUCAUCAGUAUGGAGAGAGCCCAAUUCUGGGCAUGGUCCCCACCACCACCAAAAGUUUUUUUUUUUUUAACUGAGUCUCACUCUGUCUCCCAGGCUGGAGUGCAGUGGCGGGACCUCGGCUCACUGCAACCUCUGCCUCCCAGAUUCAACUGAUUCCCCUGCCUCAGCCUCCCAAGUAGCUGGGAUUACAGGCACCCGCCACCUGUUUUUUGUUUUUUGUUUUUUUUUUUUUUUUGUAUUUUUAGUAGAGAUGGGAUUUUGCCAUGUUGGCUAGGCUGGUCUCAAACUCCUGACCUCACGUGAUCCGCCCACCUCGGCCUCCCAAAGUGCUGGGAUUACAGGCGUGAGCCACCGCGCCUGACCCAACACAAGUUUAAAAUGAAAGCUGUUAUCAGUAGAGAAUCUUCACCACGUUGGCACCAGCUCAAGUGUAGUGUCUGCGCACUUUUAGCUUAGAGUCAGAAAAAGAGACAUGUAUGAAAAUGUGUGGCAGGAGCCCUUCCAUAAAGCAAAUCUCUCUGUUGCAAUGGUUCUUAACAAGGUGUAAACGUUAUAACUACCUAUGGAACUUUUAAACCUGUAUGCCAGGCCCCAUCCAAACUUACUGACUCAAAAUCUCCGGGCAUCUGUUUUUUUGUUUGUUUGUUUGUUUGUUUUGAGAUAGAGUCUCACUCUGUCACCAGGGUGGAGUGCAGUGGCGUGAUCUCGGCUCACUGCAAUCUUUGCCUCCCGGGUUCAAGUGAUUCUCCUGCCUCAGCCUCCCAAGUAGCUGGGAGGUGUACACGCCACCACAGCCCGGUAAUUUUUGUAUUUUUUGUAGAGAUGGGGUUUCACCAUAUUGGCAAGGAUGGUCUCAAUUUCCUGAGCUUGUGAUCCGCCCGCCUCAGCCUCCCCAAGUGCUGGGAUUCCAGGCGUGAGCCACGGCGCCCGGCCGGCAUCUGUAUAUUUUAAAAGGCCCCAGUGGUUCUGAUGCACACCCCCAGAAGAGAAACACAGCGUCUCUACACAGUACUCAGUCCCCAUCAAGGAGACAUUUAACAGAAACUCCUACUGACAUCCAUUGGCUCCUUGGGGAUUACUGACAAUGUAACAAAUCAAGACAGCAACUUCCCUGGCUGUGACCACCAACUGUGGAAAACAGCAGCUUGAUAGCUCAAUGCUGUGAUGGAGCCGUCCGGAAAACGACUCCUCAACAACGAACCAAAAAGAGAAGUGGUGAUCUGUACACAAACGCCAGGAGUGACAAGAACCAGGUGCAGGAGUCCACUGGCUUUCCCCAGCUCUCCUGGGUUGAGGACAGACGGCUGAACUGGCUGUGCUAUUUGGAGAUGGGCCCCACCGCCCCUUUUCAACUGUACGGCUCAGGCUGCUUAACCAUAGCAACCCCAUGGGCUGGGGUGGGGGCAUCUACAGGGCUUCCUGGGGGCUCUCCCGACUGCCACCCCCCGCCCUUGUCUUAUUUGUAAUCUUUUCCUAAUAGACCUCAACUAAAGGCCGCACCUCCUUCUCGCAACACUUCUUUUCUCCUCCGCAUUCUCAAAUUUGAGACGCUUGAUGCGUGAGAGUCAAACCAGCUAGCAAGGACAGCCUGGAAGCCGAUGAAGAAAUGACGCUCAGGAUCAGAGCUGGACGGCAUCGGGGAGAAAGCCUGGCAGAGAAGGCAGGGGCACAGAGCAGUGGUUAUGUUGGGAAACAAGGUGGGGAUGAGGAAAUCAGGUUUCCAGGCAGAUUUCCAAACCUUAUUCCUACUGUACGGGUGUUACAAGUUUUAUGGAUUUUAAGGAAAUUUCCUCUGUCCUGAAAACUUUUUGAGACGGGGUCUUGCUCUGUCACCCAGGCUGGAGUGCAGUGGUGAAAUCUUGGCUCACUGCAGCCUCCACCUCCCGGGUUUAAGUGAUUCUCCUGUCUCAGCCUCCCCAGUAGCUGGGAUUACAGGCACUCGCCAUGACACCCAGCUAAUUUUUUAAUUUUUAGUUGAGACAGGGUUUCGCCAUGUUGGCCAGGCUGGUCUCGAAUUCCUGACCUCAGGUGAUCCACCUGCCUCAGCCUCCCAAAGUGCUGUGAUUACAGGCAUGAGCCACCACACCCAGCCAAUUUUUUGUAUUUUUGGUUUCACCAGGUUGCCCAGACUGGUCUCAAACUCCUGAGCUCAAGCAAUCUGCCCACCUCAGCCUCCCUAGCAGUUGGGACUACAGGUGCAUGCCACCACACCUUGCAAAUUUUUAUUUUUGUAGACAUCUGUAUGUUGCCCAGGCUGGUCUCAAACUCCUGGACUCAAGUGAUCCUCCUGCCUUGGUCUCCCAAAGUGUUGGGACUACAGGCAUGAGCCGCCGUGCCUGGCAAGAUAUCAUUCUUCAGCAAAAGCAGGCAGCAACAGCAGCGGUUUGCCUGUAGCUGUGGUCAUGGUUAACUGAGGCCUGGUUUCAAGGGAACCGAGUGAAUCAGGAUAAUGGCUUGAUAUGCUGCCGUUCUCUGGAUGCAGGAUGACAUGAGAGGCUGGGAGCAGUCUCUUCGGCAAGCCCUGCUGCAGAGAGCCCGCGGUGGACAGGAAGGGCGGGGGGGCGGGCAGGCUGCGUGCCAGGCCAGGCUCUCAGCCUGGUCUUUAAGGUCCAUUUUCUGUUCCUGAGGCAUCCAGAACCCCAGACUCCUUCUCAUAACACAGGAACACAUCACUGGGACGCUGCACAUCAACUUUGCUAUUUCAGAUGAUGCUGGAAAGUGCUGUGGACCUGAAGGUGAGUGGGCAGAAAGGGGUUUGAGGGUAUGGACUUCCUGGGCGUUCCCGUGGCUUCAUCUGAUGAGAAAACCUAGGAAACGUCUUCCAAGUGAACUUCCUGGUUUCCCUUCCCUAGAAGCCAGGAGCAGGGUGGGAGUAAAGAAAUGGAAGAAGGGGCUGGGCUCGGUGGCUCACGCCUGUAAUCCGAUACUCAGGAGGCUGAGGCAGGAGAAUUGCUUGAACCUGGGAGGCGGAGGUUGCAGUGAGCCAAGAUCGCGCCACUGCACUCCAGCCUGGGUGACAGAGCGAGACUCCGUCUCAAAAAAAAAAAAAAAAAAAAAAAGGAAAGAAUCUGCUCACACAACCCGGCGAGUGUGCCAGGCAGAGCCCUCUGUCAGAUCUGGGUCUGCCCAUACCCAGGUCAGCAGCACCAGGGCAGACAGGAUACCUGCUUGAAGGCCUGGCACAUAUGACCUUCCUGGGUGACAGACACAGAGGACAUCUCACCUUUGGAGACAACUGAGAAAUGGCGAGAACACAGGGAUAACUUGGUCAAGUAAGGUCAUCACAAGUACGAUGAACAAAAUAUGGGCCAGAAACUGGGAUUUCCAUGAGAAUACACCUGGUUCCACUGCCUCCAUAAAGAACCUGUAAUCUGCCACUUCAUUAACUCAGGCCCGAGGGCCAAACCCAGAGAUGGGAGAGGAAACUCAGCUCUGGCUGAAGGGAAAACCUCAACCAGCCACAGAGGGAGGGAGGGAGGAGUGAGAUCCAGGCUUCCUUGUUCAAGUUGCCUGGACGGGUGGGGCCCACGUGUCAGAGGGUGUGACUGCCAUGGGGAGGCUACAUGAGUCAAGGGCAGCUCAGGGACCUAUCCUCCACUGCUGCCUCUGCUUCACGAACCAGAGAUCACCUAAAUCGCCCUCUUAGAGCCCAGCCCUUACUCAGCGUCUCUGAUUAGGGCAGGAAGUAAGGCGGCAUGGGAGAGACUCAGUAACAACCCGCAUGUCCCAGGAAGUUUGAAGACCGACGAUGUGAGAGUGCCGGGGAGCAUAGGAGAGGUCGGGGGCUUCUGGGGAACGGGCGCUGAGGGUCUGCAGCCAGGAGCAAAGGGCCCCUUGCUGCUGCUACAGUCUCUUUUUAAUGAGUUUCUCGAGCUUGCGGAUGCGUGAUGACUCUUGCUCUGGUGUUGGCGCCGUCAGGGACAGUGAGCCGGAGCUUUCUGCCCCCGAGGGCGGUGCGGGGAGCCGCUGGCGCAGGAGUUCCAGCAUGCUGCUCUGCUCACUCCUCUUCAGCCCCUGAGGUUGAGAGAGAAACAGAACCGUCACGAAGUCUGGGCCAGAAUGGCCCAUGGGGGAGAGCGCAGUAUCUGGAUAUGGGGUCAGCAGAGGCUCUGGAGACAGCAUAGUUACUCCAGGCUGAGGGUGAAC
rnacentral:lncRNA from 1 species